ACGGUGGUGGAGAUGUAGCCAUCCAGGCGGACUGCCCCAACUCCCCUGCUUGGUGAGGGGAGGACUCGGGCUGUGGAUGUGGAGGACAGCCGUGUGGCGAUAUGCGCAGAAAAAAACAAGAGGACCCGUUAGAUUUAAGAAAAUGGACGGGGCCGGCGGGACGUCACGAUGCGCCGUUGCCACAAAGCUCAAGAACGCGCUCAUUUGGCUCCCAGCAUGCUGCACGUCCGGAGGGACCGCUGGUUACCAGGAGCUCAUCCAAACCCAGUGCAACCCACCCUGCUGCAUCUGACGAGGAAACAAAACUUAUACACAAAAGAAACCAGAAAAUGAAGCAGAAAUGAAGAUGGCAACAUCCUUAAACUUCCAGGUGUGUCGGAGGUUGUGUGUGUGUGUGUGUGUGUGUUGCCGGCAGAGCGUCGUGUUCGCAGGCCUGAGGGGUUGUCUGUUAUCUUUGGUUAUCUAGCUGUAUGAGUGAUGUACAUUCUUCAUAAAGCUAGAUAACCGAAAGUAACAAGAAUCCCAUUACACGCCUGCACGGAGGCAGAAAACAAAAUAAAAAACACAAAAAGACCCAGGAAUGGCCUCGGACGACGGACGUUGCAAACUGAUGAUGUGAAGGUGUCUGAUCGGUUCUGGAGUUGGGAAUCAUCGUAUCGUUGCCUCUCCGCUCUUUCGGACUGUGACUUUGAGUCCAGUGAUGUUCGUUUCACACAGGAAUACGUCAUUAACCGCUAAUACACUGGAGGAAGCACAUGGAUUCUGUGAAAGCAGCAACAGAAUCUACUUUUUUCUUUUUAGGUCUUAAAACUGGUAAUGGAUACAAAAGUGUUUUCAGCUUCUACAACAAACAAGAAGACAGAAUAUUUUGAGUGGACAAACAUUUGGACAUUAUAUGGCUGAAACAGAGAAAAGUGAUCUGUGUGUGUGUGUGUGUGUGUGUGUGUGUGUGUGUGUGUGUGUGUGUGUGUGUGUGUGUGUGUGUGUGUGUGUGUUGUACAACUUGUUCUUGGGAACGGCUCUGCACAGCUGUUCAGGAAACAUCUGCACUACAUUUUCAUGUAGGUCAGAGCUUAGAUUACUCUCUCGAUCACACGCACACACAAAUUCAGUCAGAUUUGAACUAAGAAUUAAAAAAAGGUUCGAUUAUGUUAAAAAAAGAUGCCGUGGUGUUUUGACUUUUUUGUAUUAUUCAUUAGUUUAACCACUUAUUCUCUGUUACAUGAGAAUUUUAUCUUAGAUUUUACAUUUAUUUUUCUUACGUAUCUUGAAAUCUAUUUGUUUAUAAUAAUUACAGUUAGCAAUUUCAUUAGUCUAUUUGUCUCGUGUAAAACUGUGGAUGUUUCAAUCAUAUUGUUGACAAUCUGUGUGACUAGAUUACCUGAAACAUUUGAAAAGAUUUUCUGAUAAAAUGUCUAAAAUGUUUUACGGUCUUGAUCCAUCAACUAGGAAUUGUAUAUCAAUCAUUCAGAUGAUUUGUCCGUCAUGCAGUAGAUUUUUCACACUUCAUCAUCUUAUAACUACAUAUAGUGUUUCGUACAUUUCUAUUAUGGGCUGUAUAACCCUUAACAUGCUGAAUGUUUUGGUGGUUAAAUCAGCUCUUAUGGAGGUCUUAUGAGUAUCACGUACAUCACAUUUGAUCUUUUAUUUUGUGUCCAAUAACUUGAUUACAUUUUAUUUCUAUUUUUAUUUUUAGUGUACUCAUUUAAUCGAGAGCGCUACUAUUACUGCAGGAAGCAUUUUGUGCAAUUAAAACUACUAUAAGUUUAUUUUUUAUCUAUGCAAAAAAAGUAGGAGUAGGAGGUUUUGUUGAGUUUGCACUAUUUGUCUUAGUGUUUGCACAUGAAUUGUAUUGUUAAGUUUGCACAUUAACAGCUACAUGUACGGGUUGAGGUUGUGAGAGAGAAUGGUGACGUUUCACUAACAUGCACUAUAUGAGCACAGGUGCAAUGUGUGCACUACACUGUUGGUUUGGUUAGAAAACAGCGAAGUCUAAACUGCACGUUCAGUCUCGGAGAAUAAAAUCUGUUUUUAUUCCACAUUUCAUUUGUUGAAUCAGCUCCUCUGACAAUGCAAUAGAAAUACUUGAAUGCAUAGGAUUUUGUUCUGAUCUAAUGUGGAGAAUUUGUGAAUAUGUGCAAUAGAUCGUAUGCAGUUUGAAUUCUAUUCAGAGGGAAUAAUUGAUUAUAUUAUAAAGCACUAUGAACUGCUGUUUCAGGAGUCUUAUAAGCAUGAUUUGCACGGGUGCUGUAAUGUGCUCCAUGUCUUUACUAUGCAACUGUUUCUACUGUAGGUAAUUCAAAUCAAUAAAGUUAUUAACGUUUACAAUG